rnacentral:rRNA from 1 species
UUGGAGGGCAAGUCUGGUGCCAGCAGCCGCGGUAAUUCCAGCUCCAAUAGCGUAUAUUAAAGUUGCUGCAGUUAAAAAGCUCGUAGUUGAAUUUCGGGACCAUCAUGUCGGUCGUGCCUCGGUACGUACUGGCAUUGUUGGUUUCUCCCUUCUGACGAACCAUGAUGUCAUUUAUUUGGUGUUGUGGGGAAUCAGGACUGUUACUUUGAAAAAAUUAGAGUGUUUAAAGCAGGCUCACGCUUGAAUACAUUAGCAUGGAAUAAUGAAAUAGGACGUUUGAUUCUAUUUUGUUGGUUUCUAGGAUCGACGUAAUGAUUAAUAGGGAUAGUUGGGGGCAUUAGUAUUCAAUUGUCAGAGGUGAAAUUCUUGGAUUUAUUGAAGACUAACUACUGCGAAAGCAUUUGCCAAGGAUGUUUUCAUUAAUCAAGAACGAAAGUUAGGGGAUCGAAGACGAUCAGAUACCGUCGUAGUCUUAACCAUAAACUAUGCCGACUAGGGAUCGGAUGGUGUUAAUUUUUUAAUGACUCAUUCGGCGCCUUACGGGAAAC